rnacentral:rRNA from 1 species
UUGAACGCUGGCGGCAGGCCUAACACAUGCCAGUCGAGCGGAUGAAGGGAGCUUGCUCCUGGAUUCAGCGGCGGACGGGUGAGUAAUGCCUAGGAAUCUGCCUGGUAGUGGGGGAUAACGUCCGGAAACGGGCGCUAAUACCGCAUACGUCCUGAGGGAGAAAGUGGGGGAUCUUCGGACCUCACGCUAUCAGAUGAGCCUAGGUCGGAUUAGCUAGUUGGUGGGGUAAAGGCCUACCAAGGCGACGAUCCGUAACUGGUCUGAGAGGAUGAUCAGUCACACUGGAACUGAGACACGGUCCAGACUCCUACGGGAGGCAGCAGUGGGGAAUAUUGGACAAUGGGCGAAGGCCUGAUCCAGCCAUGCCGCGUGUGUGAAGAAGGUCUUCGGAUUGUAAAGCACUUUAAGUUGGGAGGAAGGGCAGUAAGUUAAUACCUUGCUGUUUUGACGUUACCAACAGAAUAAGCACCGGCUAACUUCGUG